rnacentral:rRNA from 1 species
UACAGAGGGUGCAAGCGUUAAUCGGAAUUACUGGGCGUAAAGCGCGCGUAGGUGGAUAUUUAAGUCGGAUGUGAAAGCCCUGGGCUUAACCUAGGAAUUGCAUUCGAUACUGGAUGUCUAGAGUAUAGUAGAGGGAAGUGGAAUUUCCGGUGUAGCGGUGAAAUGCGUAGAUAUCGGAAAGAACAUCAGUGGCGAAGGCGGCUUCCUGGACUAAUACUGACACUGAGGUGCGAAAGCGUGGGGAGCAAACAGG